GGCGCAGCUCGCGGUAGGCUCUCUUGGCGAAGAGCUCCGACUGAAACGGGCGGUACAGCUUCUUUAUGGCCACUUUGGUACCGGUCCUGCCAUCGACAGCCGAGCUUCGGGGAGCGGGAACAGACAGCUUGGUGUUUUCCAGUGCUGCUCUCUGCUGAUAUUCGACCUGUUGGACUCCCUGUUUUAAUGAGGACAGAAAACAACCUUCUGACACACAGCAGCUGGAAGUGGGAUGGAACAAGCAAAGCCAGAUUCAGAGAUUAGCAGACAGGUUAACUACUGACAGAAACUGGAGCUGAGGGACCAUGCGACUGCAGAACGACGCAUCUGUAUGCACGCAGGAUCGAAGCCUGAGGAACAGUUUCAUUCAUUAUGUAGAAAUUUGCUGUAUGAUGGAUUAAGGAUCGUAUUGGUUUGAAGAUCAGCAUUAGCACUGGAAGCUCACGGGAUAUCCCCCCUUUUAUUCACAACGUAGAACCUUUUGCACACGUCAGCUCAAUAUUUUAUACUACAGGAGCAAGAAGGUCAAUGACAGCCACGCUAAUGCAGCUUUCUGACCCUCUUGGUGCUAGUCACAUAAAAUCCUCACGCUUUUUGUAUUUGCCUACUUACACGGGUCCCAUUUGUUAAUGCAUGCAGCACUCAGUGUUGAAAACCCAUCAAUGUCAAAGACUCAUAAAUGAAUGCCACUGGGUAUGCUCACUUUGUGAGAGUGAGAGGAUUUUCCGAGAACCAGCUUCAGAGAGCUGCUCUGCAUCUGCGGAUGCUAGCAGCUUGGUUCAUGGGCAGGAGAAACAAGCAGCUCCUUUGAAGGCCGUUGUGAUGAGUUUCUUCCUAAUGAGGCUGAGCUUGCCGAGCUUGAAUUCCUUUCUGCUGCUAGCAAAGGACAUAAAUCAUCCAACUUACAUGUACAGCGCAUUUCUCUUUUAGCAAGGGCUAAAUGUUUAUCACCGCUUACCUUGCAGGGAUUCUUGAGCCAGGCCGGCAAUUACAGAUUUGGGACUGCACUUAAAUAGGUCAUUUCUAAUAGCUUCAUCUUUGACCAGGCUGUGGGUGUUAUGAAGGGGGACGUCGGCAUCCUUUUUAUCAUCCAGGGGCUCAUGUGACGGGAAGAAAGGAAGGAAGUGGCUUUUGUAUUGACUGCUCCCCACCUCAGUCAAAGACUUUGUUGUUGCCAAUAUCCUGUCCUUCAAACAGCUGUCCGGCCCCGUCCCCCAUUCCUGGGGUGAGUGCUUGCUGUCUCCAUGUAGUCUUGCAGUGAACUGAACCUCCUUCCCUUUCAAUUUUCUCUUUUAUACCAAAUAAAUAAUAAUAAUAAUAA